AUGAUUAUUGCUUUUUUGACAAAAAAUACCUUUUUAUUCACUCGCUAUCAAUGAUUAUUGGUCAUGAUAACUUGUUAGUCAAAAUUCUAAAUUUAUUGAGGCCCCAUCCACUUUUUCCUGCCAUGCGACCAGUAUCAGCACUGUUAGGCUGUGUACCCUACAUACUAUAUCGAUGAUUUAUGAAUUCAUACAUAUAUUUGCAAGUGGCUAUUGUUUUAAUAUUUCUCAAAGAGUAAUUAAAUUUAAAUAACUUGUGUUCUUGUAUAAAAUAUAAGGAUGAGCGGACGUUAUCACUAUAGGCUCGCAUUAAAUAAUAAGUGUAAUCUGAUGUGUGUGUAUAUAUAUAGUGACACUAUUCUAAUCCUGGGAUUAGAAUAACUAUUUGGAUCACAGUCAGCCCCUAUAGGGGCCCGAUGGGAUGUUCCCGAACUCACGAACCGGGCAGCGACAAACAAAAGAAAAAAAACCCACCCCACCUCCCCCAAUCCCGAUCCACCACCUCCCCUGAUCCAGAUCCCCCUCCUCCCUCCCGCACCUCCUGCCCCAAACCGGCCGAUGCCCACCACCCGCCCUAGAUCGAUGCCACCACCCGCCCGAGAUCGAUUCGCCGCCUGCCCCCGCCCCAACUGGCGCCGCCGGCCCCGCGCCGUCCGCACCCCGUCCCAACUGACGCCGCCGCCACAGCGCCGCCCGCAUCCCGCCCCAACCUGCCCCACCACACCCGCGCUGCCCCAACCGGGGCCGCCACGACCUAGCAACCCUGCGCGCCGCCGGUCACCUCCCUCACGGCCACCUCCCUCCUUCCCAACGGCCGGCGCGGACCCUCCUCCACCAUGGCCGACGAGCCUCCUCCAGGCACCACCCUCUGAUCCAGCUGCCGCAGGGCCCCGGGAUCCCCGUGUGCUGUCGCCGGGCCAUGGAUCCCUGGCGCCGCCGUAGGGUCCUGGAUCCCAAGCGCCGUCGCCUGUCCCUGGAUCUCAUCCGCCGCCGCUCAUCCAGCGCCAUGCGGAGGCUCCCCGUCCCGAGCUCUACGCGGUCCUGGGCUCCAAGUACCAUCCACCGCCAUCGUUGGAUCUCGAAGGGUGUGGUCCAUGGAAGUUCAUACAUUCUGUUCGUGCAACUGCAUCCUCUCUGAGGGGAUUCUGAGGGGAAGAAGAAAAAAGGGUGAUGAGACGGAUGCGUGCUUGGAGACCUACGGCGAGAACUCCGGCAAUCCAUGUUCUGAUGCAUCUCACGCUCAAGCCGGCGGCCCUCCUCUUAGUGCGCGUGCGAUGUGUGUUAUGCACUGGCCGCAAUGCUCAGUUGUGCUCUCCGUGAGACACAUUCAUCUUUUUUGUUUUGUUUUGACAGUAUGUGAGAUACAGUCAUCUGUGUUUUCAUUUUUCGAAGUUCAGAUAUGACGAAAAUAACUCGUGGUUGUAGGCAACCAAUGUCAGGCCGAGCAAGUUACUUCUGGUAGGGCAAACAAAAUGCUUGAGGCUGGUCAAAGAAAAAAUUACUUGUGUCUAGAGAAUAAAAUUAAUUGGCCA